rnacentral:lncRNA from 1 species
AGUCGCUAUAAAUUAUGAAAUCACUCGCGGCACGAAACAAGUUCUGAACGGUUUCUGAUGAGGUCGUCUGCUUUACAUUAAAUUAUCAUGAAUUUAUUAUAAUUGUCCUAAUCCUUUUAUCUAUAGUAAUUAAUGAGUUUUAAAUCUCACGAUUCAUUUAAUCUUGGCCUGUGUCAUUUAAAUUCGUUUCGUUUUUAUCUCAGGUGCAAAAUGUUCAACACACUAACAUUCCGCUUGAACGAUCAACAAAGGUGUUAAUUAGCGGUCACCAUAAACAUGUCUUUUUAACUGUU